rnacentral:rRNA from 1 species
UACGUAGGUGGCAAGCGUUGUCCGGAUUUACUGGGCGUAAAGGGCGUGCAGGCGGUCUGUUAAGUCUAGGGUGAAAGCUCCCGGCUCAACUGGGAGAGGUCCUUGGAUACUGGCGGACUUGAGGGAGGCAGAGGAGAAUAGAAUUCCCGGUGUAGUGGUGAUAUGCGUAGAUAUCGGGAGGAACACCUGCGGCGAAGGCGGGUAGCUGGGCCGACACUGACGCUGAUGCGCGAAAGCUAGGGGAGCAAACGGG